rnacentral:rRNA from 1 species
UAAUGGCUCACCAAGGCGACGAUCCCUAGCUGGUCUGAGAGGAUGAUCAGCCACACUGGAACUGAGACACGGUCCAGACUCCUACGGGAGGCAGCAGUGGGGAAUAUUGCACAAUGGGCGCAAGCCUGAUGCAGCCAUGCCGCGUGUGUGAAGAAGGCCUUCGGGUUGUAAAGCACUUUCAGUCGUGAGGAAGGUAGUNUAGUUAAUAGCNGCAUUAUUUGACGUUAGCGACAGAAGAAGCACCGGCUAACUCCGUGCCAGCAGCCGCGGUAAUACGGAGGGUGCGAGCGUUAAUCGGAAUUACUGGGCGUAAAGCGCAUGCAGGUGGUUUGUUAAGUCAGAUGUGAAAGCCCGGGGCUCAACCUCGGAAUAGCAUUUGAAACUGGCAGACUAGAGUACUGUAGAGGGGGGUAGAAUUUCAGGUGU